GCCAACAAGGCAAGACGGUGUGCUGGUCAUGGAGCGAUGAGGAGAGAACAAUCCUAGAUAUGUUGGCAGCGCUUAAAGUGAGGUGGGAAUGAAGGGGUCGCCUGGGGUCACAGAUGAGGCAAGAAACACUUUAACCCUGCAGUGUUGUGGAGGAAGAGCAGGGAAUUUCAUGUUAAAGGAGGACCCGGCCCAGCUGUCUGCAUACUUCCUUAAGGAUGUUUGAGAUCUUCCUUAGCAUUAAGUAUUUAUUAAAAAUUUUACACC